rnacentral:lncRNA from 1 species
CCUCUAAGAAUUCUAAAUUAUUUUUAGUGCCUGUACCAGCCUUUGGUCGUGAUUCGACCCUCCAGUGGACUUCAGCCUGGCAAUGCCUCAGUAGCCAUCCGUACGCGAUUCAUCUUGACUUUCAGGAUCAUGACUGAAGUUGGGAACAUCACCCUUUGCAGCUGGAGUAAACUGUAUGGAGAGGCAGGACAUUAUUCUACAUGGGUCCAAAAACAAACUGGGAUUGACAGCAAAAUCAC